UAUGUGAUCGUCUCUCGCAUAUCAAUAAGCGGAGGAAAAGAAACUAACAAGGAUUCCCCUAGUAACGGCGAGUGAAGCGGGAAGAGCUCAAAUUUGAAAUCUUAAAGGGUUUCCCUUUACGAAUUGUAGUUUAAAGAAGUGUUUUCUGUUGAGGUUUUGGUAAAAGUUCUUUGGAAUAGGACAUCAUAGAGGGUGAGAAUCCCGUAUUUGACCUUUACUUUCAACUUUGUGAUACACUUUCAAAGAGUCGGAUUGUUUGGGAAUGCAGUCCAAAUGGGUGGUAAAUUUCAUCUAAAGCUAAAUAUUGGCGAGAGACCGAUAGCGAACAAGUACCGUGAGGGAAAGAUGAAAAGAACUUUGAAAAGAGAGUUAAACAGUACGUGAAAUUGUCAAAAGGGAAGCGUUUGACACCAGUGUUGUUUUUCUGAAAAUCAAUUAAAGAACUGUUUAUGCUAAGUUGUUUAGACUUUAUCAGCUAAUCUGCUUAGUUUUGAGCUUUUCUUUAAUGCACUUUUCCAGUUAACAAGUCAACAUCAAUUUCUUUUGCUGUAAAAAAGCUUGAGGAAGGUGGCUUGAGAUUCGUCUUAAGUGUUUAUAGCCUCUUGCCUAUGCAGUCGGAGAGAUUGAGGUCUGCAGCGUAGAUCCUUCGGGGCUAAAUGCAUUUGUGCUAAGUUAUAGCAUUUUAUAGACAACUUGUUGACUAUGAUUUGUCUUGUAGCUUACUCGCUUAUGUUAUUUUACCUACGCUUAGGAUGUUGAUCUACAGAGCGAGAGU
rnacentral:rRNA from 1 species